AGUGAACGCUGGCGGUAGGCCUAACACAUGCAAGUCGAACGGCAGCACAGUAAGAGCUUGCUCUUACGGGUGGCGAGUGGCGGACGGGUGAGGAAUACAUCGGAAUCUACUUUUUCGUGGGGGAUAACGUAGGGAAACUUACGCUAAUACCGCAUACGACCUACGGGUGAAAGCAGGGGAUCUUCGGACCUUGCGCGAUUGAAUGAGCCGAUGUCGGAUUAGCUAGUUGGCGGGGUAAAGGCCCACCAAGGCGACGAUCCGUAGCUGGUCUGAGAGGAUGAUCAGCCACACUGGAACUGAGACACGGUCCAGACUCCUACGGGAGGCAGCAGUCGGGAAUAUUGGACAAUGGGCGCAAGCCUGAUCCAGCCAUACCGCGUGGGUGACGAAGGCCUUCGGGUUGUAAAGCCCUUUUGUUGGGAAAGAAAAGCAGCAGGUUAAUACCCCGCUGUUCUGACGGUACCCAAAGAAUAAGCACCGGCUAACUUCGUG
rnacentral:rRNA from 1 species